UGUAAUUAAUUACCUCCCAAAUUUUACACUAUAUCGGCCAAAAAUUAAAAUAAUAUAUAACAAAAAUUAAAGAAGUAUAUGAAGAAAAUUUUCCAUUACUGUUGAAAAUUUCCCGAUAGCAUUUUGCAAUCUUUUCUAGCAAAAGUUCCAAUACUAGAACACGAUGCUCCACCUCCUCAUCCCCUGUCAAUGAAGCCUCUGCCACCUCCAUCAAGAUCUCCGUCACCACACACUGCCAGUAUGCUCCGUCCACACACCACACACCACACACCACACACCACACAUCACCAAUAGCUCCGACCACCUACCACCAGUAGGUCCGACCACACACCACCAGUACGCAACCACAAUCACCACCAAUCGACCACCAGUGCUCCGACCAGAAACCAACUUCUCCACUACUCUGACAACCACUUCGAUUUUAGCUCUCAAUUUGCAGUUCAAUUUCCAAGCAAAUUUGCGGUUUUCUUUUGUAAUUCGGUGAUUUUAAGGUUAAUGUAUUCUUCUAAUUUAUUGAUUCAGAGUGCUAUGUUUCCUUAAGUUCAGAUGAGGAAUUAGACCCUGAAGAGCUUGAAAAUAUUCUUGCUAAACUUUAGGAGGCUGUGAAAUAUGAUGUUAGGCAGGUGUCUAUUUGGAACGCUCUUGGCACCAUACUUCUUAGAAUUGGUCAUUUAGUGCUAUAUCAGUCUUCUCAACUUUGUUGGACAUUUCCCCAGAAAACUUGGAUUGCCUUGGUAAUCUUGGAAUUGCUUGUCUCUAGAGGUAUAAAGGGACAUUCAUUCUUACUGAUUUUAGGCUACUUACUGUACUAUUUACAACUUAUAUUAAUGUCAUCGUUUCAAUAUUCUUGUGUUUGAUCAAAUUAGACUAAUGAAAAAUAGAUUGAUGUAGAAGCUAAAAGCAAUUGGAGAGGUGGAGAAGCACUUUGUACUUACGUGUUGGGAAAGGACGAAGAGAAAUAAUAUCAUGAUGAACUGAUGUUUCUAUUGAUGUUGCAUCCGGGAAGAAAAAAAUAAAACUUAUGUGUGAAUCACUUGUCGAGAGAUUAGUUUGUUUUUGGCUGAAAAACUGUUGAUGCAUCAUUAUGUUGUGCAACAUAUGGACUUUGCUAUUAGUUGGAAUUGAGUGUCUAUUGGAAAAAAUUCACUUAUAAGCCUCUUUUAUUCAUGAAAAACUAAGUUAUACUGUUCCUUUUAGUGAUGUGUAAGUCUCUGUUACUUCCUUAUUAAUUGUGAAACUUAUUGUUUUCCUUUCUUUUUUAGUUUGAAUUAAAAUCCUCUUAGGGAAACUCAAGUGGUAAAAAUCCUAUGGGUUACACAAAUAAUCACAAAACGGUGAACAAGCAUAUAUAUUUCACUGGAUUUAUCUUUUUCUUUUAAGUCCUGCACAUUUGAUCAUAUCUACUGAUGAUUCAACUUAGCCGCUGGAACUUCUCCCUUUUAUUAGAUACAGUGGAGAAAUGCUAGUAUGCUAGUUUAAGGAAAUUUCUUACUGUUACAAGUAGAGAUCUACAAGGAGAAAGUAAGGUUUGUGUCGCUUGCAAUUGUAACUGACGAGAUCUAUUGAUCCAUAUCUAUUUCUAUCAGUCAAUGUCUCUUUAUCCAUAAGUAUGCCUUUUAAGUUAUCAAUUGAAGGACAAUAUAAAAAUAAAAGGGAGUAAACUACAUGGGAUUAUUCUGAAUAGAGCAACAAAAGUAAGUCAUCAACACUCUUUCUCAAAUUGUUAUAUGAAUUUAGCUUUCUAGAAUGCAAUAUGUUCAACAUAACAUGUAUUUUCUGUUUAAAUCUAUACUAGAUUAUCUUCAACUGUCCUCUGGAGUCCUUCAUAACUUUACGUACUCACAAACUACCAACGAAAAUAGAUGGGGUGCUAUAUGUUAGGAAGCUUGAAUUAACCUAAGUUAUGAACUUAUUGACUUUCAGAAACAACAAAAUUUAUGCGAAAAAUCUACUCGUUCCAUAAAUUUAUUUUACUUUUUCUUGGAAGUUUCUAAAGUCUGCAGAAUCUUUAAUUGUUUUCCUGGUAACUAUAUCCAACUCUGCAGAAGCAUUGCAAAGCUUAUCAGUAAAGGAAAAUGAGACAAUGUGUUUCCACACGAGGCUCUUUAUACAUUUUAGUUCUAAUAUGGCUGUUCAUGUUGCAGAGUGAGAUAGCUAAUAGAGCAGUUGGAGAAACACGUAUCCUUAGCCUCUUGUUAAAAAAAAUCUUCCUUUUACAUGUUUAUUUUAUUUUUUCUUUGUUAAAAUGUUUAAACUAUUUCAAAAAUGAAUAUGUCAAGCAGCAGAAGCCAUUGCCUCUACAUAUUUACUGUCCACCAGGAUCUGACAAAGGAUAAAAUGUAUUGUCUCUCAAUAGGUUUGAAACUUAAAAGAUUUAUCCUGAAUAAUUGAGUUUUCGAGCAAGACCAAAUUUGGAAAGUUGAUACUCGUAGACUUGGUGGGGUUGAAAAAAGUUGAGAAGAUUGGAGCUGAAGGUAAAAUUCUUGAAGAAGCACAGACCAUCAAUCAGUCCCUCACAACACUUGGGAAAGUGAUAAAUGCUAUGACUAGCUGCACUCCAGGAAAACCAACUCAUAUUCCUUAUCGUGAUUCUAAGCUCACUCGGAUCCUACAAGAUAAUCUUGUAAAUUUCACUCCUUAAACUCCAUUUUUGUCAUACUAUACCAGCUUACGUGGAUGAACAUCUACAUUAUGUUUCACAUGGUGGAUGCUCUCAGACUGCAUUACUUUGUUGUUACUCUCCAACCCCUUCCAAUUCUUCAGAGCCUCUCAACCCUACAAUUUGGUGCUAGGUAUGUGAACUUAGUUUUAUCUGAACUUCUUGUCAUAGAGUCAAGAAGGAAACAAUGAGGAACAUAAUGCACAAAAUGAAAUACAACAAUUUUUUAAGAUCCCUGUCAUCUCUAUGCAUCUUUGAUAUUUAUGGAAUUCAUUUUAGUAUU